GAUGAACGCUGGCGGCGUGCUUAACACAUGCAAGUCGAACGGUGAAGCAGGAGCUUGCUCCUGUGGAUCAGUGGUGAACGGGUGAGUAACACGUGAGCAAUCUGCCCUGGACUCUGGGAUAAGCGUUGGAAACGACGUCUAAUACCGGAUACGAGGCGUGGGGGCAUACCCAACGCCUGGAAAGAACUUCGGUCCAGGAUGAGCUCGCGGCGCAUUAGCUUGUUGGUGAGGUAACGGCUCACCAAGGCUUCGAUGCGUCGCCGACCUGAGAGGGUGAUCGGCCACAUUGGAACUGAGACACGGUCCAGACUCCUACGGGAGGCAGCAGUGGGGAAUAUUGCACAAUGGAGGAAACUCUGAUGCAGCAACGCCGCGUGAGUGAUGAAGGUCUUCGGAUUGUAAAGCUCUGUCUUCUGGGACGAUAAUGACGGUACCAGAGGAGGAAGCCACGGCUAACUACGUGCCAGCAGCCGCGGUAAUAC
rnacentral:rRNA from 1 species